UACGGGGGGGGCAAGCGUUGUUCGGAAUUACUGGGCGUAAAGGCUCGUAGGCGGCCAACUAAGUCAUACGUGAAAUCCCUCGGCUUAACCGGGGAACUGCGUCUGAUACUGGAUGGCUUGAGUUCGGGAGAGGGAUGCGGAAUUCCAGGUGUAGCGGUGAAAUGCGUAGAUAUCGGAAGGAACACCUGUGGCGAAAGCGGCUCACUGGACCAUUACUGACGCUGAGGCACGAAAGCUAGGGGAGCAAACAGG
rnacentral:rRNA from 1 species